rnacentral:miRNA from 2 species
CAUCUGGGCAACUGACUGAAC